rnacentral:sRNA from 1 species
GACGUUGGCGGGCCUUAUGAAGUGCCGAAUGACCUCCUUAACCUAGGUAUCAAAUCAACAGAUACCCCAAAUCAGUUAUCAAAUUCUCUCAGAAAACAGUUCUGUGAGAGUGAUCUUACAACCGGAUUUCACGAAGGAAACUUAUGGCCUGGUUCAAUUGAUUCACGUAUUGGAAAUGACCACCUCAAACAACUUCACAAAGAAAAUAGGCCUAAUCCCCUGGUCUUAGAUGGACACGACUUAGAAGGUCAUGGUAAUGUUCAGUUUGGUGGAGAAUACCAAAUCAUAUCAGCUACUCACCCUGCAGGAAAUCAAGCUCCUGGUUACAGUGGAAAUACGCGAGCACAAAGCGGUUCUCAGGAUGCUACAAACGGGAAAAUUAUCCCCAUCUUCGAAACGUCUUACGGCCUUUGCAUAGACACUUCAACAAAUUGCGGCCCUGCGUCAAGGGGAAAAUCGGGAAGUCAGAGUCGUCCCGACCAGGGUUCCAAAUCCUCCUGUGGUCGCAAGAAUGGAUCAAGUAGUUGCAGUGGUUCCGGCUCUGGUGACUCAGGCCAGAGUGAUCCACUGACCAAUAGCACGGCCGGGACAAGCGUUGUUGACUUUGCAAAUGACCAUAACUUGACUACAAAGGCUAAAGC